rnacentral:rRNA from 1 species
CACAUGCAAGUCGAGGGGAAACGACAUCGAAAGCUUGCUUUUGGUGGGCGUCGACCGGCGCACGGGUGAGUAACGCGUAUCCAACCUGCCCACCACUUGGGGAUAACCUUGCGAAAGUAAGACUAAUACCCAAUGAUAUCUCUAGAAGACAUCUGAAAGAGAUUAAAGAUUUAUCGGUGAUGGAUGGGGAUGCGUCUGAUUAGCUUGUUGGCGGGGUAACGGCCCACCAAGGCAACGAUCAGUAGGGGUUCUGAGAGGAAGGUCCCCCACAUUGGAACUGAGACACGGUCCAAACUCCUACGGGAGGCAGCAGUGAGGAAUAUUGGUCAAUGGACGAGAGUCUGAACCAGCCAAGUAGCGUGCAGGAUGACGGCCCUAUGGGUUGUAAACUGCUUUUAUAAGGGAAUAAAGUGAGUCUCGUGAGACUUUUUGCAUGUACCUUAUGAAUAAGGACCGGCUAAUUCCGUGCCAGCAGCCGCGGUAAUACGGAAGGUCCGGGCGUUAUCCGGAUUUAUUGGGUUUAAAGGGAGCGUAGGCCGGAGAUUAAGCGUGUUGUGAAAUGUAGAUGCUCAACAUCUGCACUGCAGCGCGAACUGGUUUCCUUGAGUACGCACAAAGUGGG